rnacentral:rRNA from 1 species
UACGGAGGGUGCAAGCGUUAUCCGGAUUCACUGGGUUUAAAGGGUGCGUAGGUGGGUUGGUAAGUCAGUGGUGAAAUCCCCGAGCUUAACUUGGGAACUGCCAUUGAUACUAUUAAUCUUGAAUACCGUGGAGGUUAGCGGAAUAUGUCAUGUAGCGGUGAAAUGCUUAGAUAUGACAUAGAACACCAAUUGCGAAGGCAGCUGGCUACACGAAUAUUGACACUGAUGCACGAAAGCGUGGGGAGCGAUCCGG